rnacentral:rRNA from 1 species
GAUCUUUAUAUAUUAAAUAAUUAGUAAACGUUAGAUUAAUUUUUUUUUUAAUUAUUGAUAUAUUAUAUUGGGGUAAUAAUAAAAUUUUAGAAAUUUUUAUUUUUUAUUAUCAACUAUGAUUGAUUUUUUGAUCCAAUAUUAUUGAUUAUAAAUUUAAGUUACCUUAGGGAUAACAGCGUAAUGAUUUUUGAGAGUUCUUAUUGA